rnacentral:rRNA from 1 species
AGUGAACGCUGGCGGUAGGCCUAACACAUGCAAGUCGAACGGCAGCACAGUAAGAGCUUGCUCUUACGGGUGGCGAGUGGCGGACGGGUGAGGAAUACAUCGGUAUCUACUUUUUCGUGGGGGAUAACGUAGGGAAACUUACGCUAAUACCGCAUACGACCUACGGGUGAAAGCAGGGGAUCUUCGGACCUUGCGCGAUUGAAUGAGCCGAUGUCGGAUUAGCUAGUUGGCGGGGUAAAGGCCCACCAAGGCGACGAUCCGUAGCUGGUCUGAGAGGAUGAUCAGCCACACUGGAACUGAGACACGGUCCAGACUCCUACGGGAGGCAGCAGUGGGGAAUAUUGGACAAUGGGCGCAAGCCUGAUCCAGCCAUACCGCGUGGGUGAAGAAGGCCUUCGGGUUGUAAAGCCCUUUUGUUGGGAAAGAAAAGCAGCAGGUUAAUACCCCGCUGUUCUGACGGUACCCAAAGAAUAAGCACCGGCUAACUUCGU